GGGGUAGUGGCUCAGCGGUAGAGCGCUUGCCUAGCACGUGAGAGGCCCUGGGUUCAGUUUGAUCCUCAGCAUCACA
rnacentral:tRNA from 1 species